UCUGUUGGGCAUAGAAAUUGGAGAUAUUUGCAGGCAGACUGUUUUUUUAUUCCUCCCUCAUUUGUCAUCAGAGCGGUGGAAGGCGUGCAAUCAGUUUCCAAACAAACGCCAUGCCUCUGUUAUUCGGUCUUGUCUUCUGCUCGUCUCUCUCUCUCAGGAGGAGUCCAUCGUCAUGUAACAGGGAUUAAAAGGUCAGAGCUGAGUGAACCCUGAGCUGUGUAUCACAAACAAAGGUCUGAAAAUGUCAUGGCUUCACAGACACGCCCUCGAUCUGCAGGAGGAACAUCAACAGGCAAGAGAACAAAAAUAAUCAAGUAGCUUUUUUUCUCGCCGUGACAUUGAUCCCACAUUUAUCCCAUUUCUGUCACGUUCGUUCCCCAGUCUGAGGAACAUUUCAAAGAUGCUUACAUCAGCCUCUGAAGCAAAACUGGAGCCUGUGAAGCAUUUAGCAAUUACUUUACUUUUCUUCCAUCUCUUGCCAAGGUCCUUGUAUGAAAAUGGGUCCAACCUAGAUUUGAGACUACAGGGAUAUGAACUCAGAGGACGGAUGAAAGGACGAAGCAAACGAAAAAAGGAAGGAGAGCUAGAGGCAAAAUUCAAUUCAUCUAACCCUUGUUCCUAUCCUGGAUAGAAGGAGAAUACAAUAUUUGAAAAAGGGAAACACAGUUGGGAUUUUAAAUAGGUUUUGAACCGGAGUGAAAUCUUCGAACGCUUUAAAGGUAACAGCGUUGGAUGGAAUUGCAUUUUAUCAGAGAUACUAGAGAGUCGGCCAAACUCUUGGGAAUGAUCCUUUUGAAGCAUGCUGUCAGGAAUAGCUGAUUUUAGGCUUCAAAUGCAUAAGGCAUUGCAGGGCGGUGACUCCUUUUGUAAUCGAAAUCAGAGCGAAUCCUUCCCCUGCCUUCAUAUAGGACGUUUGACAAAAAUAGGGACUAAUAAAGGAUGGAAACUGCUCAAGGCAACCUGGCCUCCGAGAAAGAGGCCACCCAGAUCCUUCAUUUAAUCGUUGACGUGGAUUGCCUUUCAUUAGCGAGGCAACAAUGGGUUUUGACAGACCUAAAAUGACUUUGCCUGCUGAAACGCAGCAGACACUGUGUGCAAUUACUCGGACUCGUAAUUGAAGUAUUGAUGUUGAGUAAUAAGUCGCACUUAUUCUCCACAAUCAGGACGAUGAAUGUAAUGGAUACGUGCUGUGCAUGUCUCACACAAGACUUCAUCUUUUGAAAAGAGCCUCCUCUUUUCAGAGACUUGCACAAUAGUUGACUUAACAAUAGCGUAUUGUGCCAGCUGUAACAAUAGCAUGGCUUUUAUGAUCAACGUGUUAUAUAUGGAGGCAGAUUUGAGCUUCUUGGCAGAUCACAGGAAGAAGAGCAUGAGUGGAUCUAACGUCAACAAGGACAUAAUCUGAGUGAACAAAGGGAAAAUCAGCAUACCAGAUUCCAGAGAUUUACAUAACCAGACUUCAAAUGUAUGCUUAGUGAUAUCCUUGUUGUAGAAACUCUUCUUUAAUGAGGCAGUCUGAGGGCCUUAAUAAAAAGGAAGAGUAGUCAAAGUACUCGUGGCCAUUACUCAAGCUGUUUAUUAUCAGUACAAUGCAUCACCGCGUCGAUCCAUCAUGUGACAGAUUGACAGCAAAAAAUAAAACAAAAAAACAAGCAUGCAUACAUUUGCAUGCAAGUAAGUGAAAUAUGACAAGUUGUUGAGUAAAGGAGGAGACGCUGCUUCUUCAGCAGUUGGAUUUGAUUUAAGAAGGAAUGAUAAGCAGGUCUUUUCAGGCAGCAAAUGCAAUUAUUUCUUAUAGAGAGGCAUAAUUCUGGAUUUUUAUAAAUGUAAACUGAGAUGUUGAUACUGUCUAAUCAAUAUAAGCUCCAGUACCAUCCAAGUACCUUAAUAGGGUGUAGAAGUCUGAAUCUCCCACCACUCUAAAAAGCUGGUUCCUGAGUGCAGCGAUAAUUUUCUUGUUAAGCUUUGUGUGGUUCUGCUUUAUUUCUUAGCUAAAUGACUGGAGUAGAGUCUACUUCACACUCUUGAUGCUGUUCUGGUUGACAGGUCUUAAAAUGCAUUAAACUGUUAUCUUGUUUUGCUCAGCCUUCCUUCACUUGAGCUUUACAGGUAUUGCAGACGCUCUCUUGUUGUUUUUGUCUCCUACUCAUGCGGUGGGCAUGUUUAAACUUGUCAUUGUGUGUACAUAAUUAAUGCCUUGACUUAUCGGCCAUAGAAAUGUGCAGAUAUUUUUGUCUGUGCUAAUUGACAUUUUAAGCUGCAGUGCUGACAAUACUAUGCGUCCCUACUUUUUUGAGUGAAGUUUACAUGUGAGUCAGCCACAAGUCCAUUUAUUUCCACGGGAAUUUCAGUGAUAUUAAAUGAGUUUACAGAACUUCAUUCGAUUGGAAUAGUCUGGUCUGGAAUCUGCCUCAAUUACAUACACAAAGUUUGACUUUUUUUGUUGGAUUUUGGAGACUUCAUGAAAGUGCGCUUGCUUAGCUAAUAGUCUCUUUUCAUCAACUCAGUCGCCUAUGUUGAUAUUCAAGGGAGUUGAUGUAAAAAGGCUUGUUUAUCUUGUUUUAACAUUAUAAAUCUGAGUAACCUGCCAAAAUGUGAUUAAAGCAAAAUUUUGGUAUUUUUCAACUUAGGCUCUAUUCCUCAUGACUGAUGGGAGGAACAAUUUCUGAAACUGGUCCAGUACUGAGGGAGAGCAGAGCAACUGGCAUCCACAAAAUGAGCUAAAACCUAGUUUAACCAGGUGAUUGCGUAUUGUGAAACUACACAUGCUUUAUACUGUACUAAUACAAUAGCUAUACUGUGAAGGUUGUGUUUACCUUUAACGCUUGUCUGUGCUUUUAAAGGGUAUGUCUUUAUACACCAACCCGCUAUCAUUUCAUUAUGAAAAGCACAUAAUGGAAGAAGGCUUUACUAUUCCUCCGCGCUCCUCUCUUUGUUAUUCUCCAGGGGUACACAACCUUUUUACUGAGAACAUAGCUGGUCCCUCCACUGGGUCCCUUCCCCUCGGUGUGUUGUGAAAAGAGCCACUGUUCUCUUGGGUUCUGGAUGCCCAGAUCGUCCAAACAAACACUGUUUAUAGAACCAACAUCUUUGUUCUCAGAAAACCUGAUUAUGCAUGGUGCUGCAAAGUAGCCGGCACCAGCAGCUUUGCUUCCCAAAUGCAUAGGUUCACUCAGGACCAUAGAAACACAUCCCCCAUUGUCUAAAAAUGGGCGUCAGUGCUGAAAUCUAUCAGGACUUUAGCUCUGAGGCAUUGGUUAAAAAAAGAACUGUAUAAAGGAGGAAAAUGUAACAAGGUCGAAUAACCAGAUCACUUGGUGUUUUUUGAUUCUUCCUUGUUCUUCUAUCAAGAAACACAGUCCAUGCAGGGUGUUUAGUCGAAAAUAGCGCAAAAGGAAAUGAAGUCUCUGGGUGAAGAGGAGCAGAGCAGUUUCCAGUAACAGUUGAGUGAGUCAGCCCUCUUCUCAAAUAAUCUCCAUGGAGGGAGUAAUCACUUCAAAUGCUGAAUAUGAAAUUAUAUUUAUCAGACUGAGUGGCUUGAUGAAACAGCGUCUUAAAGCCAUCAGACUGCUGAUUGUGAAUGAAGUCAAAUCUCUGAGCUGCUGUCCUUGAAGUAAAUGAAAAUGUUAACUCCCCACAAAGAACGCUGUCAAGACAACUUCCAACCUGUGCAGAGACUUUCCGGAAAGUGAUGCAGUAACCUUGGUUUUUUUUUUUUUUUGGUUCCUUUAUGAGGCUACGUAUCCUCAUUGUGAUUUGAAGAAUGACUGGGUGUGCCUGCAGAGGUCUUAUUGUCAGAAUGAUCAAUGAAAAAGACACAUGCAUGAGCAGACAUGUGUGCAGCAGCUGCUAAAAGUUGGAGAUAAGCUCAUGAUUAGCAAGAAAAGAUGUUUACCCUAACGAAGGAGUCAAACUGAUGCAGCUGGGUAUCAGGACACAGCAUGAAAAGUGACUCACUCAGUGACCUUAUUGCCAUUAAUUAUUAACUCAAGUGGAUAAUUACUCUCAUUAGAGGAAAAGCUGGACUGUUACACUCAGCAGUUUGAGAAGUAGGGGAGUUCUGCAGGGGGAUGACCUCAGAUAACGGCAGCACAUCAUUGUGAUUCAUAUCAGUACGCAAAGGAUUGAAGUGAGCCCUCCAGUGUCGUAGUGGUCUCAAAGGUGCACCACACACACAGACGGCUGCAAUCACACAGAGAUACAGCACAUCCCAAGCUUUCUCAGCAUAAUUGGAGUUGGUGUUGUGUUUCGGGAUUGAUAGCCGGCUCACUGGCCGCUGCUGGGAUUUACUUUUCCCUGCAGAUGCUGACAGGACACUUUGGGGUGUCUCUGUUCCUGUAGAGGUGAAAGAAGAGACCCGCCACCCCUGAAUGUGAGGGAGGUGCAUGAAGACUGCAGGUUCUCAUCCCUGCAAGCGAAACAGAUUUUAAAGCUCAUGUUCCCUCUUGUUAUGCUGAAUCUAAGCACUCAAAAAAAAAAGAGGCAAAGCUUAGGGAAAAUUUCUCAUGUUGCUCUGUGGUAAUCAGUUUCCUUACACUUCCAGGCAGCCUUCAAAGACACCCUGACACUUCAGUGCUGCCUCACAGUUACUGAUUGAUCUCCACAGACGUCAGGUUUCCUGUGCCCUGCAGGAAAAUUAACUCCAUUUUUAACUGCACAUCAAGCACCCUACAAGUCUUUGAUGGUGCGUUUUUGGCUCAUCACAUCAACAACAUUCAUUCGUGCCAAUUUGCAGUGACACCCCAGAGUCAGUGAAGAGGAAAUCAUCCAGCCUACCUUUCCAUCGCCGUCCUGGAGCUUUUUCAUUACAGCAGCACAGCAGCAUAGACGGGAUAAGGAUGUGGUGGCACUAUGAGAAGACUGUCUGUCUCUCAGUAUGAAUCGCGAAGCAAUUUAGUCCAGGUAGUGAGGGAAAAUCCGUUUAUCUGGUCACUACUCCUGACGCGGAGCUGCAGCGCGUGGCUAUUGCAAUCUUGUGCUGAAGCGGCAGCCUGACAGCGGCUGAUAAAGUGAAGAUUUACUCGCGGACAAAGUGAGGAGCAAUCCCUCACACUUUAGCUUACUCCAUCAGUUUCUGCGCGCUCUGUACUGGCCCAGUGAUUUAAUAUCCCUUCAUUGGGUCUGGUGGCAGCACGCGCCCCCUCUCCCCCCCAUAUGAGCGUUCACGCACGCGCGCACACGCACGCCAUGCACAGAGGGAAAGAAGUGUCACCUGCAAAGAACCGAAUUGAAGAGGGCUGCACAGCCGUUAACGUUUCAAAUCUAAUAAUAGAAUAUUCAUUGCAUUUCAACCUCAAUUCACAUAAAAUGACAAAAAGGCAUAAAAAUACUCAACACAGCAGCCUGAUAAGGAGGAAUCACUAUUUUAUUCCCUUAUAUUCUUAUCUCCAAAGUUCUUACAGGAGCACAAAAUGAUGAAAAUGCACACCAUGGAGUUAAGAGGAUGACAUCAGACUGAGGUUAUCUGUUUAAAACUCAUGUUCAUGCCAAGUUGUAAUGGAUUAUGAAUAGACGGUCCCUCAAUUUUCACAUACAAAGGUGUAAAACUUACCGUUAUAUGCCAAUGAUGAAUAUUCCGUGUAAAGAUGUGCGUAAAACGCACCAGUCAGACAGUCCGGAGGCGAGAGGAGCAGGAGCAGAAGUGUCGUCAGUGCGGUAUUAAAUUCCCUCCUGGGUUGAACAAAAGCUCUUUGUAACUUAUGUCUUGUCAUCUCACGUCUCUGUUCCACCGGGCGUGUGUCUAACCGGGUCGCCUUUCCUAAUACCCGCACCCAGGAGGGUAGCCUAUCCAUCAGUGCGCACUCUGUAAGCUCUUCCCCUCGCUGCUGCUGCUGCCUUGGAAAUAUCCAAUCUCACAUUGAAGCUUUCUAUCUCCCUGCAGAAUUCAUCUGGAGACUCAAAGCAUGUAACGCCCGGAUCCAGCAGGACUUUUUAAGACUCCAGAGAGAACUGUAGUCGAGUCCUUGUCGGAUGACAUGGGCAGAUGAGCGUUUUCUUGACUCGAGAAAGACGGUUGGCGCUCUGAUAUGCGCAGGAUACAGCAAUAAUGAUGUCAACAUACUCCACUGUCGUGUUACACUGGUCAUAGUGACUGUCCAAUAAGAUCUAGAGUAUGAUGACAUCAAAGGGUGUCUGUAGUAGAGCUGGGCUAUGUUGAAUUUAUAAGUUGUUUUGUUUGCAGCUUAUUAGAAAUGCAAUCUUGAGUCAUAGUGUUGGAAUUUCACCUUGACCCUGUAGUUUUUGAUUGAUAAUUAGAAAUAAAACCUGACCUCAAACUGACCUGACUUUAACCCUGCAAUUUGACCACAUCACAAAUGAGCAACAUUAGAGUCAGUAUCAAAUCAGAUUAAUUCUGGCAAUACAAACAUCUACGUAAUCAUUUGUUAUAUCAUUAUUAUGUUAUUUUACAUCUUUAAAUCGGAUUUUUAAGGGUCAGCCAUUUAAAGCA
rnacentral:lncRNA from 1 species